CACUGCCCGUCACACCAUGGGAGUUUGUUGCACCAGAAGCAGGUAGCCUAACCGCAAGGGGGGCGCUUGCCACGGUGUGGCCGAUGACUGGGGUG
rnacentral:rRNA from 1 species